UCUCUAGGGAGUCCAUGCUAAAUGGUGCCAGAAGAUGAUCCCAAGAGAAGGUGGCAAAGGAGUUAGUACGAACACCUGUAACCUCACAGUACCAUUUCCAUUUGUCUUCUCCAACAUCUGUGAUUAACAUCAGAUGACACAUCAUCCUGCCUUCUACUCCAGAAUCCUGUAUCGUCAUCAGAUCAUGACUAAGGCCACUGGGGGUUUGUACACUGUGUGCAGGAAAAGCAACCAACAAAGACCAGCCCUAAUGAGGUCAUUGGAGAAGACUGAAUUCUCCUCAUUGGACAGACAAGGAAACCCACAGUCAGCAGGGUGCUUGAGAUUGCGGGCCCCCGGGGCAUUCUGCCCAGGCUGCAGCGUUCACGGAUGUGGCUCCUCUCCACAGGCUGCCCUCUGCCAAGGGGACAGACCGGCUCCCACAGAGACCAAAGCGUCCUUUUACAGAGUAGCUGCUGCAUCUCCCUGGGGACUGCGCUGGGAAUGCCAGCUACCCCCUACACUCCAGAAGCCCCCUGCUUGAUUCAGAACACUCUUUAUUUCUCUCUUAUGUACAUCCUAAAAGUGGAACCCAGUGCUCUUCAAGGAGGAAAAUCUACUUGCUCUUCCCCUGGAACAACAUUCUGCUGAACCUGUGGCUGGGCCACCCUGUCCUUCCCAAAUGCGUCCUCUGCUUCCUGUCCAGGAGAAGCCACUGGAGUUCAGAGUCCAGACAGGAAUCCUGUGUUUGAGGAGUGAAAUCCACUUUCAAUCUCCUUUGUUGACCUGACUUUCACCCUUCCCCAACAGCAUUCCAAACUCCCACUCACAUCAACAAGCUGUAUUUUUAAAAGUUGGUUGGAAUUGUGAAAGCUUAAGGUUACGAGAGCUCAAGGAUACGGCCAAAGCUGAGUCUGACAGCUUAUUUUACUGCCCGCACUGGGGCAGUCAAGGCCAGGGCAGUGUCAGUGAAAGUCCAGGGUUUUCUAGUGGCCAUGGGCUUUUGGUCUUAUGCAAGAGAAGGGAGGUAAAGCUGAAAACACAUCAUCGAGUUAGAGAAAAUAGGUACAUUGACUGGCACCACUCUAUGCUCAACACAGUGGCAAACACACCUGGUUACCUUCUCUUUCCAUCUUCAAGUUAUAGGAUCCCCAUUUCUAGGGGGUGGCAACAUGCUCAAGGAAGACGGAACCCUUCUCUCAGCCUAAGAGAAUGAAGCAUAAUUGGCUUACAACAUAUGUGGCAAUUCCAUUCCCUUCUUCCCAUGAUUAACUUGGGAGUAAACAUGUGACCCAGUUCUUGACCAAUGAGACCAAAGGAGCAAUUUGUUGCUGGUUCUCAGAAGAUUUUUGUUUUUUGGUACAAAAAGAAACAGCAAGUUUCUUCCCACCUGACUUGAAUGCAAUUGGGUGAGAAUAUGGUUCUUGGAGCUACAGCAACCAUUUUGUGAUAUGAGGCAACAAGCCAAAGGGCACAGGAUAAAACAGUGAAAAGACAGAACCUGUGGUUUUUGAGAAUAUCAUUAAACUACUGAACCAAUCUGGAACUGUUUUCUUCUAGACUUUCAUAUUUGUGAGAUGAUUAAAAAUUUCUGUUGUUUUAGCCACUAUUUCUUUUCUGUUACUUGCAGCCAAAGACAUCUCAUGUGAUACAAAUAAUAUCUAAUUUGUGUUGUAAUUUAUCUAUUUUACAUCUGUUGAUUCUGUCUUAUUGACUUUUGUAUUUUUAGCAUUGAAGGUGAUCCUGGCGUUUAUUAAGUCUUCAAUAAAAUGCCUGUUGAAAAAGGUUUUUAGGUGAUA
rnacentral:lncRNA from 1 species